rnacentral:rRNA from 1 species
UACGUAGGGUGCAAGCGUUAAUCGGAAUUACUGGGCGUAAAGCGUGCGCAGGCGGUCUUGUAAGACAGAGGUGAAAUCCCCGGGCUCAACCUGGGAACUGCCUUUGUGACUGCAAGGCUUGAGUACGGUAGAGGGGGAUGGAAUUCCGCGUGUAGCAGUGAAAUGCGUAGAUAUGCGGAGGAACACCGAUGGCGAAGGCAAUCCCCUGGACCUGUACUGACGCUCAUGCACGAAAGCGUGGGGAGCAAACAGG